GGUCUUAUAGUGUAGUUGGUUAGCACACGGGAUUCUGAUAAGAAGCUUUCCCGGGACCCCGGUUCGAGUCCGGGUAGGACCU
rnacentral:tRNA from 1 species